AACAUGCUUCCUUAGAUCCACCUUUGUGGGUGUUAGUCUUGAACUGUGUUCUACUUGUAAACUUCUUGUUUCUUGUAGUUCCGGUCAGAGAAACAUCCAGCAACUUUUUUGGUUGUAUAGUCAAAGGUGCUUGAGUCAUUGGCAUGUGAGAUAAAUAUACCUGCAUGUUAGUCUUAUGUUCUGAUAGAAAUGACAUGCAGUUGUGCUGUCAUUUUUUUUACUAUCAGGACUCGACUGGUGUGCGGACACU
ensembl:snoRNA SNORA53 small nucleolar RNA, H/ACA box 53